GACAGAGGGUGCAAACGUUGUUCGGAAUCACUGGGCGUAAAGCGCACGUAGGCGGAUUUGUAAGUCAGGGGUGAAAUCCCGGGGCUCAACCUCGGAACUGCCUUUGAUACUGCGAAUCUAGAGUCCGAUAGAGGUGGGUGGAAUUCCUAGUGUAGAGGUGAAAUUCGUAGAUAUUAGGAAGAACACCGGUGGCGAAGGCGGCCCACUGGAUCGGGAUUGACACUGAGGCGCGAAAGCCAGGGGAGCAAACGGG
rnacentral:rRNA from 1 species